UGCCACCCCGUGCAUGGCAUACCGGUGAGUACCCCGUGGGGAACCUACCCUUUAACGGGGAAUAACGCUCCGGAUGGAGUGGUAAUACCGCAUGAGACCCGUGGCUGGGAUGUUGCCGGUGAAAGCUGGCGAUCUAACGACCUGGUUCUGAAGGAUGAUCCUGCCUCUGAUUAGCUAGUUGGUGGGGUAACCGCCUACCGAGGGCACUAUCUAUAUCCGGCCAGAGAGGGUGAUCCGCCACUCUGGAACUGACACACCGUCCACACUCCUACGGGAGGCCACAGGGGGC
rnacentral:misc_RNA from 1 species